rnacentral:rRNA from 1 species
UGGGGAAUUUUGCACAAUGGGGGAAACCCUGAUGCAGCGACGCCGCGUGAUUUAGAAGGCCUUCGGGUUGUAAAAAUCUUUUCUAUGGGAAGAAAAUGACAGUACCAUAGGAAUAAGGACCGGCUAAUUACGUGCCAGCAGCUGCGGUAAUACGUAAGGUCCGAGCGUUGUCCGGAAUCAUUGGGCGUAAAGGGUACGUUGGCGGGUAAGCAAGUUAGAAGUGAAAUCCUAUAGAUCAACUAUAGUAAGCUGUUAAAACUGCUCAUCUUGAGGUAUGGAGGAGAAAGUGGAGUUCCUCGUGUAGCAGUGGAAUGCGCAGAUAUUAGGAGGAAUAACGGUGGCGAAGGCGGCUUUCUGGCCAUAACCUGACGCUGAGGUACGAAAGCGUGGGUAGCAAACAGG